GGAGCUGUGACUACUGGAGCAAUGAAGGACUUGGCAGACACUGUGAAAGUUGAUCAAGACUGGUAUCGAUUCUUCGAGAGUCCCGGUGCUGAUAUACUCGCAAGAAGCAGUCGUGUUUGGGACAGCUUUCUACACCUCUGUGCCGGCAGAUUUGUAAGAUUGGAAGUUGUUUCAGUGUGGAGAGAGAUGGACACGGUGUAUUGUUUGGUAAAACUUGCCCUUGGAUGUCACGAAUAGUUCUCAUUAAAGUAAACCAGUGGGCAAUGAAUGCUAGAUUAGUGUCCAACGUUGUGAUGGUGGAUAAUGUCGAAAUAUGGAUGGCUGUGUAACAUUGGUAAAAGUUUGUGUUGGGGAGUUACAUGAUGGAGCAUUGGCAAGUUGUGUAUUAUGUGAAUGGCAUUGUUAUUAUUGAGACAGGCCAGUAUCGUAGGAGAAAUAAGGGACAUAUAUGCAAAAAAGCUGGAGAGUUGCCAUGUGACAUAAUAGCUGUGACUUCUGGAGCAAUAAAGGACUUAGCAGACACCAAGAAAGUUGAUCAAGACUGCAGACACCAAGAAAGUUGAUCAAGACUGGUUUCGAUUCUUCGAUAGUUCUGGUGUAUUGGACUAUUUUCUUUUCCGAUGUCCUGGCCACGCGGUUCACAGUGCAUUUUUACUUUUAAUGUUAAGAUAUUGUACUUUUGUUGUCGUUAUAAUUUAUUUUGCUGUUUUCCAAUUGUCAAAUUAAGUCAUAAUAAUUUCAGUUGGUUAUUUUUCGCUAAUUAUAAACAAUUUUUACUUUUGUUGUAAUUAAAACCUGUUGUUUAAUAUUUGUUUAAAAAGUAUUUCCAAUGUUACUAACAUGAGUAUGUUAUUUACAAUUACUUCCAUCCAAUAAAUUACUUUAUGUGUUCUUUAAUUCUUUUAUAAUUCUGGUUUUAAAUUGUUUAACAUGCUGUAUAAUAUUUUCGGAUGCGUUGUCCUGACUUCUUAUGUCGUCAUGCGGGUCGUCAUGCUAUUUUUGCUUUAAAUGCAAACGGAUUGUAUGUGUUUCGUAAUUAUUUUAUAUGGUCGGAUAUUUUUUUAAUGCAUUUUUAUUGCUACUAAUGUAAAUGUUUUCUUUCAUGAAAAAAUGUUAUUUUGGGCACCUAAUUCUAUUUUGCUGUUUUCCCAUUGUCAAAUAUGUGCCAUAAUAAUAUCAGUUGCGAUGUCCUGGCCACGCGGGCCGUCGGUAAUUUUUCGCUAAACUAUAAAUAUAUUGUGUUGUUAUUAAAAUCUUUUUUCUCAUAUUUGAUUUGUUUUAAAAAAAUAUUUCCAUUGUUACUAACAUGUUUAGUUUAAUUACAAUUUCUGCCAUCCAAUAAAUUAUUUAUGUGUCCUUUAAUUCUAUUGCAAUUCUGGUUUCAAAUAGUCCAACCUGUGUCCUAAUAUUUUCCUUUGCGAUUUCCUGGCUACGCGUUGUCAUCGGUUAUUUUUCGCUAAAAUGUUAACAUUUGGUACUUUUAUUGCCUAAUGUUUGUUAUAUUGUAUUUCUUAUGUUACUAAUUGAUAUGUUUCAAUCAAAUUUCUCUCAUCCAAAUAAAAUAUUAUUCGUGGCCUGUAUUUCUUUAAAUAUUGCGGUUGACAAAUUUGUGUCAUAAUAUUUUCUGUUCCGAUGUUCUGACCAUGCGGGUCGUCAUGCUAUUUUUGCUGUAAAUCCAAACAUAUUGUACGUGUGUUAUAUUUAUUUUAUAUGAUCGGAUUUUUGUUAAAAUGUAUUUCUAAUGCUACUAAUUUAUAUGUUUAAAAAAUCAAAAUUACAUCAUUCAAAAAAGUUAUUUGUGACCCCUAUUUCUAUUUUGCUGUUAUCCAGUUGUCAAAUAUGUGUCACAAUGAUAUCAGCUGCGAUGUCCUGGCCACGCGGGCCGUCGGUCGUUUUUCGCUAAAAUAAACAUAUUGUGUUAUAAUUAAAAUAUGUUUUAAAAAUGUAUUUCCACUGUUACUAACAUGUAUAUUUUAAUUACAAUUUCUUCUAUCCAGUAAAUUACUGUAUAUGUCCUUUACUAUCCAGUAAAUUACUGCAUAUGUCCUUUAAUGCUUUUACAAUUCUGGUUUCAAAUUCUCCAACCUGUCCCCAAAUAUUUUCCUUUGUGAUUUCCUGGCUACGCGUUGUCACCGGUUAUUUUUCGCUAAAAUAUAAACAUAUGGUACUUGUUUUGUCUAAUAUUUGUUACAUUGUAUAACUUAUGUUACUAAUUGAGAUGUUUCAAUCAAAUUUCUCUCAUCCAAAUAAAAUAUUAUCAGUGUCAUGUAUUUCUAUUUAAAAUGCGGGUGACAAAAAUGUGUCAUAAUAUUUUCCGUUCUGAUGUUCUGACCAUGCGGGUCGUAAUUAUUUUAUAUGGUCGGAUAUUUGUUAAAAUGCAAUUCAAAUGCUACUAAUUCAUACGUUUAAAAAAUCAAAAUUACUUUAUUCAAAAAAGUUAUUUGUGUCCCCUAUUUCUAUUUUGCUGUUAUCCAGUUGUCAAAUAUGUGUGACAAUAAUAUCAGCUGCGAUGUCCUGGCCACGCGGGCCGUCGGUCAUUUUUCUCUAAACUGUAUUUCAAUUAAAAUAUGUUUUAAAAAUGUAUUUCCAAUGUUACUAACAAGUAUAUUUUAAUUACAAUUUCUUCUAUCCAAUAAAUUACUUUAUGUGUCCAUUAAUACUUUUACAAUUCUGGUUUCGAAUUGUCCAACCUGUCCCCAAAUAUUUUCC